GAUGAACGCUGGCGGCAUGCCUUACACAUGCAAGUCGAACGGCAGCGCGGGGCAACCUGGCGGCGAGUGGCGAACGGGUGAGUAAUAUAUCGGAACGUACCCUGGAGUGGGGGAUAACGUAGCGAAAGUUACGCUAAUACCGCAUACGAUCUAAGGAUGAAAGUGGGGGAUCGCAAGACCUCAUGCUCGUGGAGCGGCCGAUAUCUGAUUAGCUAGUUGGNGGGGUAAAGGCCUACCAAGGCAUCGAUCAGUAGCUGGUCUGAGAGGACGACCAGCCACACUGGGACUGAGACACGGCCCAGACUCCUACGGGAGGCAGCAGUGAGGAAUAUUGCGCAAUGGAACGAAAGUCUGACGCAGCGACGCCGCGGU
rnacentral:rRNA from 1 species